UUGUCAGCUUGAGUCGUGAGAUGUUGUGUUAAGUCGCGCAACGAGCGCAACCCUUAUCCCUAUUUGCAACUCAAGAGCACUAUUGGGAAACUGCCAGUGACAAACCGGAGGAAGGGGGGGAUGACGUCAUGUCCUCACGCCCCUUAUGGGUGGGGCUUCACACGUCAUACAAUGGUGUGAACAGAGGGUCGCCAAUCCGCGAGCGGGAGCCAAUCCCAGAAAACCGAUCGUAGUCCGGAUCGCACUGUGCAACUCGAGUGCGUGAAGCUGGAAUCGCUAGUAAUCGCGGAUCAACAUGCCGCGGUGAAUACGUUCCCGGGUCUUGUACACACCGCCCGUCACCCCAUGGGAGUGGGUCUUACCAGAAGUGGCUAGUCUAACCGCAAGGAGUCCGGUCUCCACGGUAGGAAGUCAUGACUGGGGUGAAGUCGUAACAAGGUAACCGUA
rnacentral:rRNA from 1 species